UUGAAAGGGAAACGAUUGAAGUCAGUCGUACCAGCGGGAAAUCAACCUUUCGAGUGGGGUUUUGGAGUUUUGAAGUGUGUCAAAACCUUUGAGAUUUCAAAAUAUUCGCUCUUUUGGUGUACUUUCUCGUGGGUAGGUUAACAUCGAUUUUGAUCAUCAUAAAAAGAUUGGAGGAAUGUAGCUUCGAUCUUGUAUUGAAGUGUUAUAGCCUUUGGUAAAUGUGAUGAUUAGGAUCGAGGAUUGCAACGAAUACCCUUUUGGGCUAUCCGCCUGAUCUCUGAUACGUGGCCUUGGUAUUGAAAGCGUGCUUAUGAUAUUAAGGUAUUACGGUCAAAAGGUUAGAACGGAUUACAUUCGUUAAGGAUGUUGACGUA
rnacentral:rRNA from 1 species